UCAAAUGAAAAUUUAGAAGACGUUUGGUAUUGCCACUUUAUUUAAAUGAAUCGGUAAAACACAUUCAUUAUAAGGUGUCCACAACUACGAUUUAUUAAACACCUUCAUUAUAAGGUGUUCACAUUAUCCAUUCAUUAAGACCGAUUUAUUUUACAGCUCUUACUCAGAUUAUCGGUCUAUGCAACACCAUUUUGGAGAGACAAAGCAAGGAGGCUAAGGUCGAUGAUUUGCAAAAGAAGAUAACCGAAAAUAUGCCAGAUCGAUGCGAGGGGGUGGCUCAGCAAAAAACUCUUCGAGAAUGCAAAGUGCUAAUCAAAAAGGUGCAUCAGUCAUUCUGUCGAAUAAAUGGGGGCGCUGUUACUGAGCUCCAAUUGGAAAUUUCAGAUGUUCUCCCAUUAAAAACCAUUGACGCAUUGUUUGAUGUGGAGGAGAAACUGCAAAGCAAUGAAUAUAAAGAGGAAAUGAUAUCUUACAUAUUCACAUUGGGCGCUGCGACUGGAAAUAUUGAUGGGACGAUAAAAAAAAUGUUUUCGGACGAAUUGUUAAUAAAUUUUAAUUGGGAUGGAAGGUGUGGA